rnacentral:lncRNA from 1 species
UUGUUUUGAUAGAGCUGCUCCUUAUGCUCAAACUGUGUAAGCUGAAGAACAGCAAGCUCUUCUCUGCAGCAAGCUCUGGCUGAGUAUUUGCUUUUUUCCUUUGCAGAUCCCCCUGGAUCCACUCCAUUCCAUCCUUCUCAUUGUGCAAUUAAGAACUGAAAUGGGAAUGUGAUCGUUCAAUCUAAUACCGAGGCCCCUGUGGACGGGCACUUCAUUUCUCUCCUGCCUGUUGUAACGGCAAGUCCCCACAUUUAUUCCCCUGGUGCUCUGCUGUGCUGCUCUGCUUCUUCAGGAAAAUCUCUUCAGGCUUCUGAUAACCACUGAGCCAGGAGCUGACUCAAGCACAACAUUUAGACUUUUGAAGCACCCGUGGAGUUUCAAGGAAACCUGCAUCUUCUGUAGAAUGUAAGAAGAAGCUUCAAGAGUAUCACCAAAAGAUACUGGUAACAGUUCAGAGGUUUGAUAGCAAUUUUUAGCAGAACCUUUUGAAUGUGUCCAUAAUUCCCCUGCAAAUUUAAUAAGGCAUCUUGGGACAAUCUC